rnacentral:rRNA from 1 species
GUGGGGAAUCUUGCGCAAUGGCCUAACGGCUGACGCAGCGACGCCGCGUGAGGGAUGACGCUCUUCGGAGUGUAAACCUCUUUUGCCUGAGACGAAUUGUCAGCUUUAGCUGAUUUGACUGUAUCGGGUGAAUAAGCACCGGCUAACUCCGUGCCAGCAGCCGCGGUAAUACGGGGGGUGCGAGCGUUGUCCGGAAUCACUGGGCGUAAAGGGCGCGUAGGUGGCCUGAUAAGGGUGUGGUGAAAGUCCGGGGCUCAACCCCGGAUCGGCCGUGCCGACUGUUAGGCUAGAGUACUGUAGGGGCAGGCGGAAUUCCGGGUGUAGCGGUGGAAUGCGUAGAGAUCCGGAGGAAGACCGGUGGCGAAGGCGGCCUGCUGGGCAGUUACUGACACUGAGGCGCGACAGCGUGGGGAGCAAACAGGAUUAGAAACCCCGGUAGUCC